rnacentral:tRNA from 1 species
UCCCUGGUAGCUUAGAUGGGAAAGAAUCUGCCUGCAGUGCAGGAGACCCAGGUUCAAACCCUGGGUUGGGAA